GAUUAACGCUGGCGUCGUGCAUAACACAUGCAAGUCGAACGAUGAAACUUUACUGACUUCUUCGGAAUGAUUUAAAGCGGAUUAGUGGCGAACGGGUGAGUAACGCGUGAGUAACCUGCCUUACACAAGGGGAUAGCCUCUGGAAACGGAGAAUAAUACCCUAUGAAACCAGACAAUCGCAUGAUAAUCUGGUCAAAAUGUUUAGUGGUGUAAGAUGGACUUGCGUCUGAUUAGCUAGUUGGUGAGAUAAAAGCUCACCAAGGCAACGAUCAGUAGCCGGCUUGAGAGAGUGUACGGCCACAUUGGGACUGAGACACGGCCCAGACUCCGACGGGAGGCAGCAGUGGGGAAGUUUGCACAAUGGGGGAAACCCGGAUGCAGCGACGCCGCGUGAUUUAGAAGGCCUUCGGGUUGUAAAAAUCUUUUGUAUAGGAAGAAAAUGACAGUACUAUACGAAUAAGGUCCGGCUAAUUACGUG
rnacentral:rRNA from 1 species